CCUGCCUUAUAGUGGGGGAGUAGCCUUUCGAAAGGAAGAAUUAAUACCGCAUAAAAUUGUAGUAUCGCAUGAUAUAGCAAUUAAAGGAGCAAUUCGCUAUAAGAUGGACCCGCGUCGCAUUAGCUAGUUGGUGAGGUAAUGGCUCACCAAGGCGACGAUGCGUAGCCGACCUGAGAGGGUGAUCGGCCACAUUGGGACUGAGACACGGCCCAGACUCCUACGGGAGGCAGCAUG
rnacentral:rRNA from 1 species